CCUACGGGAGACUGCAGUGAGGAAUAUUGGUCAAUGGACGAGAGUCUGAACCAGCCAAGUAGCGUGAAGGAUGACUGUCCUAUGGGUUGUAAACUUCUUUUAUAUGGGAAUAAAAUGUUCCACGUGUGGGAUUCUGUAUGUACCAUAUGAAUAAGGAUCGGCUAACUCCGUGGCAGCAGCCGCGGUAAUACGGAGGAUCCGAGCGUUAUCCGGAUUUAUUGGGUUUAAAGGGGGCGCAGGCGGAUUGUGAAGUCAGUUGUGAAAGUUUGCGGCUCAACCGUAAGAUUGCAGUUGAAACUGGCUGUCUUGAGUGCAGUAGAGGUGGGCGGAAUUCGUGGUGUAGCGGUGAAAUGCUUAGAUAUCACGAAGAACUCCGAUUGCGAAGGCAGCUCACUGGACUGCAACUGACGCUGAGGCUCGAAAGUGUGGGUAUCAAACAGGAUUAGAUACCCCUGUAGUC
rnacentral:rRNA from 1 species